rnacentral:rRNA from 1 species
AGAGUUUGAUCAUGGCUCAGAACGAACGCUGGCGGCGCGCCUAAUACAUGCAAGUCGAGCGAGAAGACGUAGCAAUACGUUGGUACAGCGGCGAACGGGUGAGGAAUACAUGGGUAACCUACCCUCGAGUGGGGAAUAACUAGCCGAAAGGUUAGCUAAUACCGCAUACGAUUCCCGGAUUGCGGUUCGGGAAAGAAAGCCAUUCCGUGGGGAUGGCGCUCCUGGAUGGGCUCAUGUCCUAUCAGCUUGUUGGUGAGGUAACGGCUCACCAAGGCUUCGACGGGUAGCUGGUCUGAGAGGACGAUCAGCCACACUGGCACUGCGACACGGGCCAGACUCCUACGGGAGGCAGCAGUAAGGAAUAUUGCGCAAUGGGCGACAGCCUGACGCAGCGACGCCGCGUGGGGGAUGAAGGUCUUCGGAUUGUAAACCCCUUUCGGGAGGGAAGAGGGAAUGGGGCAACCCAUUCGGACGGUACCUCCAGAAGCAGCCACGGCUAACUUCGUGCCAGCAGCCGCGGUAAUACGAAGGUGGCAAGCGUUGUUCGGAUUCACUGGGCGUACAGGGAGCGUAGGCGGUUGGGUAAGCCCUCCGUGAAAUCUCCGGGCCUAACCCGGAAAGUGCAGAGGGGACUGCUUGGCUUGAGGACGGGAGAGGAGCGCGGAAUUCCCGGUGUAGCGGUGAAAUGCGUAGAGAUCGGGAGGAAGGCCGGUGGCGAAGGCGGCGCUCUGGAACGUUUCUGACGCUGAGGCUCGAAAGCGUGGGGAGCAAACAGGAUUAGAUACCCCUGUAGUCC